rnacentral:rRNA from 2 species
GACGAACGCUGGCGGCGUGCCUAAUACAUGCAAGUCGAACGAACUCUGGUAUUGAUUGGUGCUUGCAUCAUGAUUUACAUUUGAGUGAGUGACGAACUGGUGAGUAACACGUGGGAAACCUGCCCAGAAGCGGGGGAUAACACCUGGAAACAGAUGCUAAUACCGCAUAACAACUUGGACCACAUGGUCCGAGUUUGAAAGAUGGCUUCGGCUAUCACUUUUGGAUGGUCCCGCGGCGUAUUAGCUAGAUGGUGGGGUAACGGCUCACCAUGGCAAUGAUACGUAGCCGACCUGUGAGGGUAAUCGGCCACAUUGGGACUGAGACACGGCCCAAACUCCUACGGGAGGCAGCAGUAGGGAAUCUUCCACAAUGGACGAAAGUCUGAUGGAGCAACGCCGCGUGAGUGAAGAAGGGUUUCGGCUCGUAAAACUCUGUUGUUAAAGAAGAACAUAUCUGAGAGUAACUGUUCAGGUAUUGACGGUAUUUAACCAGAAAGCCACGGCUAACUACGUGCCAGCAGCCGCGGUAAUACGUAGGUGGCAAGCGUUGUCCGGAUUUAUUGGGCGUAAAGCGAGCGCAGGCGGUUUUUUAAGUCUGAUGUGAAAGCCUUCGGCUCAACCGAAGAAGUGCAUCGGAAACUGGGAAACUUGAGUGCAGAAGAGGACAGUGGAACUCCAUGUGUAGCGGUGAAAUGCGUAGAUAUAUGGAAGAACACCAGUGGCGAAGGCGGCUGUCUGGUCUGUAACUGACGCUGAGGCUCGAAAGUAUGGGUAGCAAACAGGAUUAGAUACCCUGGUAGUCCAUACCGUAAACGAUGAAUGCUAAGUGUUGGAGGGUUUCCGCCCUUCAGUGCUGCAGCUAACGCAUUAAGCAUUCCGCCUGGGGAGUACGGCCGCAAGGCUGAAACUCAAAGGAAUUGACGGGGGCCCGCACAAGCGGUGGAGCAUGUGGUUUAAUUCGAAGCUACGCGAAGAACCUUACCAGGUCUUGACAUACUAUGCAAAUCUAAGAGAUUAGACGUUCCCUUCGGGGACAUGGAUACAGGUGGUGCAUGGUUGUCGUCAGCUCGUGUCGUGAGAUGUUGGGUUAAGUCCCGCAACGAGCGCAACCCUUAUUAUCAGUUGCCAGCAUUAAGUUGGGCACUCUGGUGAGACUGCCGGUGACAAACCGGAGGAAGGUGGGGAUGACGUCAAAUCAUCAUGCCCCUUAUGACCUGGGCUACACACGUGCUACAAUGGAUGGUACAACGAGUUGCGAACUCGCGAGAGUAAGCUAAUCUCUUAAAGCCAUUCUCAGUUCGGAUUGUAGGCUGCAACUCGCCUACAUGAAGUCGGAAUCGCUAGUAAUCGCGGAUCAGCAUGCCGCGGUGAAUACGUUCCCGGGCCUUGUACACACCGCCCGUCACACCAUGAGAGUUUGUAACACCCAAAGUCGGUGGGGUAACCUUUUAGGAACCAGCCGCCUAAGGUGGGACAGAUGAUUAGGGUG